rnacentral:rRNA from 1 species
UGGGGAAUAUUGCACAAUGGGCGCAAGCCUGAUGCAGCCAUGCCGCGUGUAUGAAGAAGGCCUUCGGGUUGUAAAGUACUUUCAGCGGGGAGGAAGGGAGUAAAGUUAAUACCUUUGCUCAUUGACGUUACCCGCAGAAGAAGCACCGGCUAACUCCGUGCCAGCAGCCGCGGUAAUACGGAGGGUGCAAGCGUUAAUCGGAAUUACUGGGCGUAAAGCGCACGCAGGCGGUUUGUUAAGUCAGAUGUGAAAUCCCCGGGCUCAACCUGGGAACUGCAUCUGAUACUGGCACGCUUGAGUCUCGUAGAGGGGGGUAGAAUUCCAGGUGUAGCGGUGAAAUGCGUAGAGAUCUGGAGGAAUACCGGUGGCGAAGGCGGCCCCCUGGACAAAGACUGACGCUCAGGUGCGAAAGCGUGGGGAGCAAACAGG